AGAGACAGCAGCAGCCACGGUAAUACGUAGGUCCCGAGCGUUGUCCGGAUUUAUUGGGCGUAAAGCGAGCGCAGGCGGUUAGAUAAGUCUGAAGUUAAAGGCUGUGGCUUAACCAUAGUACGCUUUGGAAACUGUUUAACUUGAGUGCAAGAGGGGAGAGUGGAAUUCCAUGUGUAGCGGUGAAAUGCGUAGAUAUAUGGAGGAACACCGGUGGCGAAAGCGGCUCUCUGGCUUGUAACUGACGCUGAGGCUCGAAAGCGUGGGGCGCAAACAGGAUUAGAUACCCGCGUAGUCCCUGUCUCUUAUACA
rnacentral:rRNA from 1 species